AUUGAACGCUGGCGGCAGGCUUAACACAUGCAAGUCGAGCGGGGUGAUGGUGCUUGCACUAUCACUUAGCGGCGGACGGGUGAGUAAUGCUUAGGAAUCUGCCUAUUAGUGGGGGACAACAUCUCGAAAGGGAUGCUAAUACCGCAUACGUCCUACGGGAGAAAGCAGGGGAUCACUUGUGACCUUGCGCUAAUAGAUGAGCCUAAGUCGGAUUAGCUAGUUGGUGGGGUAAAGGCCUACCAAGGCGACGAUCUGUAGCGGGUCUGAGAGGAUGAACCGCCACACUGGGACAGAGACACGGCCCAGACUCCUACGGGAGGCAGCAGUGGGGAAUAUUGGACAAUGGGGGGAACCCUGAUCCAGCCAUGCCGCGUGUGUGAAGAAGGCCUUAUGGUUGUAAAGCACUUUAAGCGAGGAGGAGGCUCUUUUGGUUAAUACCCAAGAUGAGUGGACGUUACUCGCAGAAUAAGCACCGGCUAACUCUGUGCCAGCAGCCGCCGUAA
rnacentral:rRNA from 1 species